rnacentral:rRNA from 1 species
AGUGAACGCUGGCGGUAGGCCUAACACAUGCAAGUCGAACGGCAGCACAGUAAGAGCUUGCUCUUACGGGUGGCGAGUGGCGGACGGGUGAGGAAUACAUCGGAAUCUACUUUUUCGUGGGGGAUAACGUAGGGAAACUUACGCUAAUACCGCAUACGACCUACGGGUGAAAGCAGGGGAUCUUCGGACCUUGCGCGAUUGAAUGAGCCGAUGUCGGAUUAGCUAGUUGGCGGGGUAAAGGCCCACCAAGGCGACGAUCCGUAGCUGGUCUGAGAGGAUGAUCAGCCACACUGGAACUGAGACACGGUCCAGACUCCUACGGGAGGCAGCAGUGGGGAAUAUUUGACAAUGGGCGCAAGCCUGAUCCAGCCAUACCGCGUGGGUGAAGAAGGCCUUCGGGCUGUAAAGCCCUUUUGUUGGGAAAGAAAAGCAGCAGGUUAAGACCCCGCUGUUCUGACGGUACCCAAAGAAUAAGCACCGGCUAACUUCGU